AAUUAGGAGCGUAAGCGACUUAAUUUCGACUUAAGUUAAG
rnacentral:tRNA from 1 species